rnacentral:rRNA from 1 species
GAUGAACGCUAGCGGGAGGCUUAACACAUGCAAGUCGAGGGGUAAAUGGCAGCAAUGCUAUGAGACCGGCGAACGGGUGCGUAACGCGUAUGCAACUUACCUUAUGCAGGGGGAUAGCCCGUGGAAACGCGGAUUAAUAUCCCAUAGAUCAGUGGUAUCGCAUGGUACAGCUGGUAAAGCUCAGGUGGCAUAAGAUGGGCAUGCGUCUGAUUAGCUGGUUGGUAGGGUAACGGCCUACCAAGGCGACGAUCAGUAGGGGUUCUGAGAGGAUUAACCCCCACACUGGUACUGAGACACGGACCAGACUCCUACGGGAGGCAGCAGUGAGGAAUAUUGGUCAAUGGGCGGAAGCCUGAACCAGCCAUGCCGCGUGCAGGAUGACGGCCCUACGGGUUGUAAACUGCUUUUCCCCGGGGCGAACUAACCCCCUCGCGAGGGGGAUGCCGGUACCGGGGGAAUAAGGAUCGGCUAACUCCGUGCCAGCAGCCGCGGUAAUCUGU